rnacentral:lncRNA from 1 species
UGUGUGGAUGCCCCAGUUGAGAAUGCACGGGCCGCGGCCACAAGUCGGCCCUGCGCACGUACUCCCACAUCCUCUUGCCCUCGCUGCGUAUCCCCCGCAACCCUCCUCCAUGCCCUCACCACCCCCCGUGCCCACCAACACCGUCCCCCUGACCCCCACUGCGCACCUCCGCCACCUCCGCCACUGCCACCACCUCCGCCACUGCCACCACCUCCGCCACCCACACAAUCCUCCUAACCUCCCGCUGCGCUCCUCCACUGCCGCCACCUCUGCCACUGCCGCCACCUCUGCCACUGCCGCCACCUCUGCCACUGCCGCCACCUCUGCCACUGCCGCCACCUCUGCCACUGCCGCCACCUCUGCCACUGCCGCCACCUCCGCCACUGCCGCCACUGCCGCCACCUCUGCCACUGCCGCCACUGCCGCCACCUCUGCCGCUGCUGCCGCCACUGCCGCCACCUCCGCCACUGCCGCCACUGCCGCCACCUCCGCCACUGCCGCCACCUCCGCCAACCACACAACACUCCUCACCUCCCACUACGCUCCUCCACUGCCGCCACCUCUGCCACUGCCGCCACCUCUGCCACCUCUGCCACUGCCGCC